rnacentral:rRNA from 1 species
GAUGAACGCUGGCGGCGUGCCUAAUACAUGCAAGUCGAGCGAACGGACGAGAAGCUUGCUUCUCUGAUGUUAGCGGCGGACGGGUGAGUAACACGUGGAUAACCUACCUAUAAGACUGGGAUAACUUCGGGAAACCGUAGCUAAUACCGGAUAAUAUUUUGAACCGCAUGGUUCAAAAGUGAAAGACGGUCUUGCUGUCACUUAUAGAUGGAUCCGCGCUGCAUUAGCUAGUUGGUAAGGUAACGGCUUACCAAGGCAACGAUGCAUAGCCGACCUGAGAGGGUGAUCGGCCACACUGGAACUGAGACACGGUCCAGACUCCUACGGGAGGCAGCAGUAGGGAAUCUUCCGCAAUGGGCGAAAGCCUGACGGAGCAACGCCGCGUGAGUGAUGAAGGUCUUCCGAUCGUAAAACCCUGUUAUUAGGGAAGAACAUAUGUGUAAGUAACUGUGCACAUCUUGACGGUACCUAAUCAGAAAGCCACGGCUAACUACGUG